UCGAUUUUGUUCAUUUUUUUUUUAAAUGAAAGCUAUUUAGUUGCUUAAUCUUCACAGAUCCGCUUUUUAAAUUUCAAAUAUGGAAAAGUGUUGAAAAUGGUACUUUAGUAAAAUGUACUUACCCUUUGGUACCUUUGCUGGUUCAUAGGGUUCAAUACCCCUAUUAAACUCAAGGAUUUUGCUAGAUAGCGGUUGGGGCCACUAACUCCUAAGCCCUGAUGGUUUUUUUCUUUAAACUAGCACUUUAAAAAAUGAUUUAUUCAUUUCUCCAAAAAAUGAAGUAAAACUGAGUUUAACAAUUGACUAGAUGAAUUUUUGUUUGAGGUGAUGAAAAGGUCAGACUAAUCGAGGCCCUUAUAAAUUUAAAUAAAAUAUGCACUGCUUAGUGCAUCUUAUCAUGAGCAUAUCCUGAAAAAAUUAGCAAAAUUGGUUAAUUAUUUAAUUAAUUACAAGCAAUUUAAAAAAAAAAGUUUAGGACGGUAUUUCUCGAAAUUCGCUUUUUUGCAAAUUUUCAAUUAGUCUUUUGGGGCUGAAAUUUGAAGAUAUGACUUGGGGGCUGCUUUAAUUUUAACAUUUAAACCCUUUUUAACAUUAAAUAUUCAUUCGUUUCUUAUUUUUUAAUCAUAAAACCAAAAUAUUAGCAAACAAAAAUAUCCCCCGAAAUACGAAAAAUCUAAUAUUCACCAUAGGUUUGUACAGUGUAGGCCAAAAAAUAGGUGCUCUACAAAAGUUCUUUAAAAAAACAUUUUUACAUUGAAGCCACAGAAUAUACCAUACUCAAAUUGAUCUUUGAUAAUCCAGGCCUACUUUCCUGCAAUUGGUUUUUUAUUAAUUGUUAUGCUUUUUCCUUAAAAAGUGAUACAAAAAUUAAUUUUUCCCAUCAAUUCCCGCCAUUGGUACUUUUCUCACGUAGAGGGAGCUUCACACAAUAACAAACGAAUCAAAGUAACAGUAGAAACUAAACAAACAAAAGUAGAUUCAUUCCAGCGGGCAGUCAGCUCUUAUUAUUCAUUUAAAUGAAAAUUCAUGCAAAGGACCUGGAAAAUCUGCAGAAAUAAACCCUAGGACUACUCUGACCAACGGAGGUUGGUGGUUUGGCAGUUGAAGGCUUAAGAAACUUGCUGACCAUCCUGGGUACAACCCCAACAGUCAAUGCCUCUAGCUUCGACAGGCACAUAGCCACUUUUAAAUCGAUAUCUCAAGAGACCAGCGAGGAACACAUGAAGAGGGCGGCGGUAUGCCUACAACAAAGGGCAAUGGACAAGGACCCGACCAUCAGG